GCCGUGGUGGCUCAGUAGGGUAGCGAAUUAGCUAUGGCGCAGAAGGUCGAGGGUUCGAACCCCUCUAACGUCA